rnacentral:rRNA from 1 species
UACGGGGGGGGGCAAGCGUUGUUCGGAAUUAUUGGGCGUAAAGAGCUCGUAGGCGGUUUGUUGCGUCGGCUGUGAAAUCCCGAGGCUCAACCUCGGGUCUGCAGUCGAUACGAGCAAACUAGAGUGUUGCAGGGGAGACUGGAAUUCCUGGUGUAGCGGUGAAAUGCGCAGAUAUCAGGAAGAACACCGGUGGCGAAGGCGGCUCUCUGGGCCUUACCUGACGCUGAGGAGCGAAAGCGUGGGUAGCGAACAGG